CAGAGGGUGCGAGCGUUGAUCGGAAUUACUGGGCGUAAAGGGUGCGUAGGUGGUUUUGUAAGUAACAUGUGAAAGUCCUGAGCUUAACUUGGGGAUUGCGUGUUAGACUGCAAAGCUAGAGUGUUGUAGAGGGUAGUGGAAUUUCCGGUGUAGCGGUGAAAUGCGUAGAUAUCGGAAGGAACAUCAGUGGCGAAGGCGGCUACCUGGACAACAACUGACACUGAGGCACGAAAGCGUGGGGAGCAAACAGGAUUAGAUACCCUGGUAGUCCACGCUGUAAACGAUGAGAACUGGUUGUUGGAUGCGAGAGCAUUUAGUAACGAAGCAAACGCGUUAAGUUCUCCGCCUGGGGAGUACGGCCGCAAGGUUA
rnacentral:rRNA from 1 species